UACGUAGGGGGCUAGCGUUGUCCGGAUUUAUUGGGCGUAAAGAGCGUGUAGGCGGCCAGGUAGGUCUGCUGUGAAAACUCGAGGCUCAACCUCGAGACGUCGGCGGAAACCAUCUGGCUAGAGUCCGGAAGAGGAGAGUGGAAUUCCUGGUGUAGCGGUGAAAUGCGCAGAUAUCAGGAAGAACACCAGUGGCGAAGGCGACUACCUGGCCUGUUCUUGACGCUGAGGCGCGAAAGCCAGGGGAGCAAACGGG
rnacentral:rRNA from 1 species